rnacentral:rRNA from 1 species
AGUAAACGCUGGCGGUAGGCCUAACACAUGCAAGUCGAACGGCAGCACAGUAAGAGCUUGCUCUUACGGGUGGCGAGUGGCGGACGGGUGAGGAAUACAUCGGAAUCUACUUUUUCGUGGGGGAUAACGUAGGGAAACUUACGCUAAUACCGCAUACGACCUACGGGUGAAAGCAGGGGAUCUUCGGACCUUGCGCGAUUGAAUGAGCCGAUGUCGGAUUAGCUAGUUGGCGGGGUAAAGGCCCACCAAGGCGACGAUCCGUAGCUGGUCUGAGAGGAUGAUCAGCCACACUGGAACUGAGACACGGUCCAGACUCCUACGGGAGGCAGCAGUGGGGAAUAUUGGACAAUGGGCGCAAGCCUGAUCCAGCCAUACCGCGUGGGUGAAGAAGGCCUUCGGGUUGUAAAGCCCUUUUGUUGGGAAAGAAAAGCAGCGGGUUAAUACCCCGCUGUUCUGACGGUACCCAAAGAAUAAGCACCGGCUAACUUCGUG